rnacentral:misc_RNA from 1 species
UUUCCGUAGGUGAACCUGCGGAAGGAUCAUUAAUGAAUAUAGAGCGUCCUCUUCAUCAGAGGAGCUCGACCCUUCAUUUCCAACACUGUGAACUUUACUUGGGAGACGGUCGAAAGACAGUCACCCUCACUUUAAACUCUACAAGUUAAAGAAUGUAACAAACCAAAAACAAAGAAAAACUUUCAACAACGGAUCUCUUGGCUCUCGCAUCGAUGAAGAACGCAGC